UACGGGGGGGGCUAGCGUUGUUCGGAAUUACUGGGCGUAAAGGGCGCGUAGGCGGUCUAUUAAGUUGAAUGUGAAAACUCUGGGCUUAACCCAGAGCCUGCAUUCAAAACUGAUAGGCUGGAGUUCUGGAGGGGAUAGCGGAAUUCCUGGUGUAGCGGUGAAAUGCGUAGAUAUCAGGAGGAACACCGGUGGCGAAGGCGGCUAUCUGGACAGAAACUGACGCUGAGGCGCGAAAGCUAGGGGAGCAAACAGG
rnacentral:rRNA from 1 species